rnacentral:lncRNA from 1 species
CCUUUUGAGGUCCAGGUCACGUAUCUGUGGUCUCAACUCUCAUCCUCCCCACAGGACACAGAUCACUGGGUUCCCUGGGGCUUCCCCAGGUCUCCCUUCUGCUCACAAACCCUCCUCCUGCCACGUCAUCAAGGGCACUGGUGUUGGAGCUGGGCUGCUGAGUUCUGGCCCACCACCACCGCCCCACUCUCCACCAGGAGCCAUGCAGGGCAACUUAGAGCUCAAUCUAGUCAUGUAUCUCCCCGCAUCCUCCCUGCAGCCACCUCACCCAUCUCCAAGAGUUUAAGGUGGACUUCAUUUCCCAGCCUCCUUUGUGGCUAGGUGUUGUCAUGUGACUGCGUUCUAGCCAGUGGACAAUGAGUAUGAAGCCCUGAGGGCUGAGACCACAUCUGCCUGGUUUUCUGUGGCAGCUGCAGCAUCAACACUGGCUCUUCGAAGAGUAGCAGCUGAUGAACAUUACUCCGGCAAACAAUUUUCUCUGCUAGGAACUGGAUAAAUGCAAAGGAAGGAGGGGAGAGUGUGUCAGACGGGGACCCUGCCCUACUGGAGCACACGCAUCACCACCUGGAUACUGUGUUUUUUACUCGAAGAACUGGCAGCCCUGCAUCAAGCAAUGGAUUCCAUUUUUCCAACAGCAUGUUCUCAAUUCAUUAGCAGUUUUUGGCAAUAAAAUAUUUUUACUCAAGAAGGACGGUUUGCUUUCCCCUCCACCGUGAUUUUAAGUUGCCUGAGGCGUCCGCUGCCCUGUGGAACUGUGGGCCAAUUAAACCUCUUUCCUUAUUGAAUUACCAAGACCUUCAUCGCAGUGUGGGAAUGGACUAAUACAACUGGGAAAUAAAAAAUUUCCAUUGUUCUCUUUAUUGCAAUAUUAGCUUUAUUGCAGUGGUCCAGAACCAAACCCAAAAUAUCUUUGAGACGUGACUGAAACAUUUCUCACUAUGUGAGCCUAUGUUGUGUAAAGCUGUGUUUGGCAACCAC